rnacentral:rRNA from 1 species
CAGCUUUUUUGUCAUAGAAUAACAGGUCUUGGCUAAUAUCCAGCAACUGCUGCCUCCCGGCUAGGAGUAUAAGCACCUGGCUAACUACGUGCCAGCAGCCGCGGUAAUACGUAGGGUGCAAGCGUUAAUCGCGAAUUACUAGGGCGUAAACGCGUGCCGCAUAGCGUGUUUUAUAAAGUCUAGAUGUGAAAAUCCCCGGAGCUCAACCAUGGGACACUAGCAUUUGGUGACCUGUAAAUGCUAAGAGUGUGUCAGACGGGGGGUACAAUUCCACGUGUACCAGUUGAAAUGCGUAGAUAUGUGGAGGAAUACCGACUGGCGAAGGCAGGCCCCUGGGAUAACACUGACGCUCAUGCACGAAAGCGUGGUGAGCAAACAGGAUUAGAUACCCUUGAUAGUCCACCGCCCUAAACGAUGUCAAACUAGUUGUCGGGUCUUAAUUGACUUGGUAAACAGCAGCUAACGCGUGAAGUUGACCGCCUGGGGAGUUACGGUCGCAAGAUUAAAACUCAAAGGAAUUGCACGGGGACCCUUCAAAGCGGGUGGAUGAUGUGGAUU